rnacentral:rRNA from 1 species
UACGGGGGGAGCAAGCGUUGUUCGGAUUUACUGGGCGUAAAGGGCGCGUAGGCGGUCGUGACAAGUCACUUGUGAAAUCUCCGGGCUUAACUCGGAACGGUCAAGUGAUACUGUCGGACUAGAGUACAGAAGGGGCAACUGGAAUUCUCGGUGUCGCGGUGAAAUGCGUAGAUAUCGAGAGGAACACCUGCGGCGAAGGCGGGUUGCUGGGCUGAUACUGACGCUGAGGCGCGAAAGCCAGGGGAGCGAACGGG